UACGGAGGAUGCAAGCGUUAUCCGGAUUUAUUAGGUUUAAAGGGUGUGUAGGCGGUAUUUUAAGUCAGUGGUGAAAUCUUUCGGCUUAACCGAGAAACUGCCAUUGAUACUGGAAUACUUGAGUAUAGUUGAGGUAGGCGGAAUAUGUAAUGUAGCGGUGAAAUGCAUAGAUAUUACAUAGAACACCGAUUGCGAAGGCAGCUUACUAAGCUAUUACUGACGCUGAUGCACGAAAGCGUGGGGAGCGAACAGGAUUAGAUACCCUGGUAGUCCACGCCGUAAACGAUGAUUACUCGUUGUUGGCGAUAUAUUGUCAGCGACUGAGCGAAAGCAUUAAGUAAUCCACCUGGGGAGUACGUCGGCAACGAUGAAACUCAAAGGAAUUGACGAGGGCCCGCACAAGCGGAGGAACAUGUGGUUUAAUUCGAUGAUACGCGAGGAACCUUACCUGGGCUUAAAUGUAGAGUGCAUUAUUUGGAAACAGAUAUNNCCUCGGCCU
rnacentral:rRNA from 1 species